UCAAUGGCUGCCAGGGGUGACCUGCUGUGCCAGGCACAGGGGUGAGGGUGUCUGCUUGGGAGGGUCUGACCCUGCUGAGCCUCCUCCUCAGCCCUGCCCAUCAGGACGCAGUGUGAGGCCUUGUCCCCAAGGGCUGCCGGCAGCCCAGCAGGCAUGAGUUGUUUGUCCUCUGUCACCAACACGUGGUUUCUGCCCUCCACAGGUAUCCUGAGACACUCCCAUAUUUUCAACCACUGCCCCCCAUCAAGGAUACACAACACAGCCAAAGGAGAACAGCAAUCAAUGGCAGAAUCUCCCGAGUGCCACCAAUCACCAUGGAUUAUCAGAGCAGCAGAAGCCCCGGGCAGCGCAUCCAGGCUUCCCCCCUGAGCAGUGGGCGGCUGCAGGGCCUCGUGGCACUCCCCAACAAGACUAGUGUGACCAAGCUGCUAGGCAGGAGCAGCAAAAUCCUCCAAGGCUGGGAGGACCAGCCUCUUACAAUGGACAGGGCAGAUGGUGAGCUGUGUAUGGCCCUUUCAGUGUACCAUGUUGUGGGUG